GAGGAGGGAGAGAAUGUUGGAAAAGAUAAAUGGAAAAAAGUGAGAAAAGAAAACGUGCGAUCGCGUAUGAAGGCGAAAACGGGAAAGAAGGAGGUGUGUGUGUGUGCCGAGCGGCUGGUUGAAAGAGAAAUAGCAAAAAAAGAAAAAAAAAAAUUUAUAAAGAUAUACGAAUAAUCUAGAUAAAACGAGAUACCAGAUAACGAGAUGACAUACUCCAUGCCUUACAUAGAAUUAUCUAAGCCUAAGUAGAUGUAUCUAAUUAGCCGUAUUAAUUCAGAAAUAAAUUACGAAAUUACGUGGUGGUCAACAAAGAAUCGAGAAAUCGAACGUAUGCACAAAUCGGGUUUUGCGAAUAGAUCUUUGAAAUGAAUGAAAAUGAUUUGAUUCGAUAUCUAUUCAACGUCGCAACGCAUUACGUUGUACAUACAUUUCCUUUUUAUUUCUUUCUUUUUCUCUUCUAGAAUAUGAAAACGAUAUAUAAGAAAGAAGAAUUCUGUGAUUAUAUUUGUAAAGAAAAGAAAUGUUGAUAUUAUCGAUUUAGUUGUGUAUGUGUUUUUAUUUCAAAGAAAAAAGAAAAAAAAAGAAAAAAAAAGAAACAUUUAUUUAGUAUAUUUAAAAUAUGAAACAUUAGAAGAAAUUAAAGUGGAAAGUGGUUGUGAUAACUUGUUUGAUCGUUUGGAGAGAUAUUUUCAUCGACGAUUAACCAUAAACAAAGUGCACGAUAGUUACGAAUAUAUAUAUAUAUAUAUAUAUAUACAAGUGAUUGAUAUAUAUAUAUAUAUAAAAUUGAUUUAAGGGCUGUAUUAAUCUACACGUAAAUUAGAAAAGGAUAGACAGAGAUAUACAGUACGAUUAAUCGAUGAAAAGCAUUAGAAUUAAUUAUUAUACCGAUUAAUUAAUUGAAUGCAUACACGUGUAUACAUUUAACAGCAGCAGUAAAAAUGAUGUACUUGUAUACAUAAAUACCAAUACAAUAUUAUUAUUACAAUUAUUAUUAUAUAUUAUACAUACAAAUAUAUUAUAUUGUAUACACAUUAGUGAAUGUUCAAUGUUGAAAUAAAAUACAUAUACGUUGUUUACACCAUAACAGAUUAUA